rnacentral:lncRNA from 1 species
CCGGGUGGUCCCUAAAUGAGCUGAUUCUCAUCAAAGCCGAGAAGCAUAGUCAGGUGUGGUGGCUCACGCCUGUAAUCCCAGCACAUUCAGAGGCCAAGGUGGACGAGCCACUUGAGGCCAGGAGUUCGAGGCCAGCCUGGCCAACAUGGAGAAACCUUGUCUCUAAAAAAUAAAAGAAUAAAGAAGCAGCAGAACUUUGUAGAGUCCCUCCAGGAAGCAGUGCCACGAGGCCUUGGGGCUGCUUACUACAACUGAAGGAAGUAGAGGAAGUCUCAUUAGGUUGCCCAGACUGAUCUUGAAUCCCUGGACUCCAGCAAUCCACCUGCCUCGGCCUCCCAAAGUGCUUGGAUUAUGCGUGUGAGCCGUUGCACCUGCCACAUACCUGAAUUCUUUAUUGAGUGGAAAAUAUGGCUGACCACAACGCCCAGAUUUUAUAGACAGUAGUUCCACUGCCUUUGGGAAUCCAGUUCUUGUUCCCAAUUUCAGGUAUUAAUAUCCUAGGGAAUUCUCUGAUGUGCUUUUGGGUUUACCGGCCUCCCAUGGACCAUUCAUGUGUAGGAGGCAUGAAGGCCAGGGCACGUGAAAGCAUGCCUGCCGCCCUGGACACUGUUCAGCAGGUCCCAGAAGGAGCCUAUGUUUACAGAGUAAGAGGAGAGGCUGACCAGCAAACAGAAGGGUCUGAUUCAUCCCCAAAUCACGAGACGAGCAAGGAUUUUAGCCUUUUGCUCAUCCCAACAGUUAACUGCAAAAUUGACCGUCUUUGUAAGUUGUUCCCAAAUGAUAUACACUCAGCUCCCAAACAAGAUGUCAUUAAGGAGCUUCACUCUCUGCGCUUGAUGGAACAGCAGCUGCUUCUUUGUGAAAAAA